CAACCACAGAAAAGGCUGAGCCUUUUUAGAAUUCAGACCUUUCCCCAGCCGCAAAGAGGACACCGUAACUACGGCGCCGCGCCAGGGAGCAAGGUAAUGUGGCGCAGAGAAGGCGAGCCCUUGCUUGGAAGACCCUGCAGGAACGGAUCGCUCUCCGCCACCCGUCUCUAGCUUAGCGGGCAGUCCUCUGUGCCCAGCCAUGGGUCCUUGGGGACUUUUUCCUCCGGGUAGCCCGUGGGAACUAUGCCAUCUUUGGUGUGGACGCCCAGAGCCUUGAACGCUGAGGUCAGCCGCUCUACUGAGAACCCCAGGGACCUGUCAUUGAGGUGAAUGCCUUUUCCUGGGCCCCAGAAGCUACAGUCUCCCUGGGCCGGAUCUGACAAUGGCGCACCUCUGUUCUGCGGCCUCUGCACUGACUGCCUAGCCGCUAGUGCCUCUUUGCCUACUUCUGCCGAGGCGGCGCGAGAAAAGCGCACAUAGAAGCUUUGGGGACAACGGACGCCAGCGGAGGCUUCGCUUCUUCCAGCUCCUCAACUGAGGCAAAUGUCAAGACGUGGCGAGAGAGAGCACCCGAAGUUCAAGGGGAGGCUGAGAAUUCUUGGGGAAAGCACAGAUCUCCUGACAGUACACAAGUAAAGAUGAGACUCCGGGUGCUUGUAACACUGAGUAUGGACUUCAUUACAAAAUGAUUUUCAUAACUGGAAAGACUGCUUAAACCUGUGACCUUGGUCUUUUGGUGCUUUUCUCAAAGCAAUGAGCCACAGUAGAAAAGUUUAAAGAAAAGAAAAGAAAAGAAAUUAAUUAAUCCAGUGUAGGACCGAUGAGCAAGUCAAACCAAAAAUUGUGAUCAGUAAAGCUCGAAUCUGCUUGGGGAAUUAUAAAGUUUGAAGAGAUUAGUCCAAUCUUACUAUCAGUAUCUUGCAUAACUGAUUCUAGGCAUACCAGACCAAUAAAGACUGGGCAAUCACACCAAGGCAUCAUUCUUCCCAAAGAAAACACUGUGUAUGGUGUUCUGACAGUGAAAAUAUAAGCAUGUCACCUGCGGUUCAUAAAAGAUCUACACACCAAGUGGUUCAGAUCUGCCAAGACAUAUCCAUAAAUGCAUGUGUUGUGUUUUGUGUGUAUAUAUCCCACAAAAUCUCACAUGAAAAGAUGCCAGAUUUAUAUCAAUGGGACAGAAUCUGGGGAGAGAAAGCUUCCUUCCUAUAUCAGUUGCUUAAAGCAACCAGUUAAAAUAAAACCUCAAUGAUUUGGACCGCCACUGACUUGAAAUUUGUGAUGCUUUGGUUGGGCAAGAUCGGAGCAUUUUGAGACAUUUGGGGCCAGAAGAUCCCUACUUGAUAUGUGCUCAGUUACCUCUGACAACCUUCCUAAUUAAUGAAUCAACUGAAAAAUGACAAAACAGCUUCUAUUUAAGACUGCUCACCCCUUCCCCAGAUUAGCCAAAUUAGUGAGGUUUGAUUCUAUUUGCACAAAGUAUAAAUUUGUGAUUCUAAGACAUAAGAUAGGGGUUUUGUGUUUUUUUUUUAAGAAAUAAAAUGCAAAGAUGCAUAAAUAAGUAUAUACAGGGUAAUAUUAGGAGGAAGAGCUCACUAAUAACUUUUCAACAGUUUCAUGGGAGAUGACUUAAACCAAGCCUUGAAAAAAAAAUGAUUCAGCCUGGUAGGAAUGGGAAAGGAAUUGAUGGCAGGAAUGGGGGAUUUAUCUUACAAAUGUAUAGGAGUAGAGAUAGAGUACAGAAAAUAAUUAACAAUCUAAUUUAGCUAGAAUGUUGUAUUAUGAAAAUGAACAACAAAAUGGAUUAUUAGAGUGCCUUAAAUGCCAGAUUAAAGAAUUUAUAUUUCAUUCUAUUGGCAAUAAUAGGAAACCACUGAAGCAGCCAGGGAGGUUAAAGGGCCCCAAUUGCGGAAGGUUAUUUUGGCAACUGAGUAGAGGAUUGAUUAGAGAAAAGAGUGCCUGCAACAAGGAAACUAGUUGGGAAACUAUUUCAGUUUUCCAAGCAAAAGACAAUGAAUCCUCCAGCUAGGGCUUGUCAUGUGAGAGAAGUAAAGAGAAUGGGCUCAAGAGAUGUAAAUGAGGUAAAAUGGAUACUGGGUGACAACUGUUUAGAAUUUUAAGAAAAAAAGGAAAGAGUCCAAGAUAGCUCUGUGAUUAUGAGUCCCUGGAGCAUAAAUAAGGUACUAUAAACAGAAAUAGGGGAGUCUAAAGGGAAAAGGUUGUAGGUGGAGUGGAGAAAUAAGUUCUAUUUUAGACAUGUUGAGGUUGUGAUGCCAAUAGGAAAUCCAAAUAGAGAUGUCCAGCAAGCUGGAACUGGUAAAACUAAAAAAGUUUUGGUAAAAAAAAAUUAGAGCUGAAUAUAUAGCUUUUGAAAUCAUUGAAUCUCUAAAAAUGGUUGAGACCCUUAACUCAUCCAGGGUUAUAUAGGUAACUAAAUUAUGCACCAUUUUAUCAGAGGUGAAUGCACAGCAUUCAAAUCUGUUAAGGACCUAAUGGAACAUAUUCCCCACUGAGCUUACAACAGGAGUCACAACUCACUUGUGGAAUUUACAAUAACCAUAUUGCUCAUUCUUCCAUCUUCAUUUUACCUGGUCUCUCUGUAACGCAGAGUACAGGUUAACCAACUCCAAGUCCCUCUACAUCUGUGCAAUUAAUAUUAAAUUUAAACCUAAAGACCUCAAGCAAUUAUUCUGUGCAAUUAGGUUUGAUAUAUUUAUAGUCAGCUAAACACAGACAUUGAAAACAUCUAGAAAUAUCUCCUCUCAACACAGUAUCUCAUUGGUAGGAAAAGGAGAGAGUACAAUGGCCCUUCCACAGGGUGUCUAUAUUCCUGAUUGAUGGUAUAUGAGCCAUUCACAUCCCAAUAUUAAACCCAAGGAUUAAAUACACUUCUCCCUAUUGGUACCUUCCAAUUCACUACUUUGAGAAAUUAAUAUUCAGCCAAUCAAUAAAAACUUAUCAAGCACCUGUUAUGUCCAGCCCUGUUUUUUCAAGCACCUUAACUAUAAGCACGUAUUAGGUGCUUAAAAUGUGCUAGGAAGUAUGCUUGGCUCUUGGGGAUGAAAGACAAAAGUGAAACAGUUUGUGUGAAGAGAAAGAAAUUGACAUAUAUGGGUGUGAACCUCCAGGAAGCCAAAUAUGUUAUCCAAUGGGGACAGGUAAACAGGAGCAUAUCUCAACAGAUGAAACCAACUGAGCCUUAGAGCUCUUUGCCCAGAUCAAAUCUUCAAGUUAGUUUCUUGCUGAGUUUCAAUAGGAAGAAAGUGUGAAUGGAAGGUGUGAUUUUUUUUUUGAGAGGGGAAGGUAGUAAGUAAUGAAUUCACUGACAAACCAAAGUAUUAAAUUAUGAGUGCUCUAGUAUACCAAAACUACUCAAAGAGGCUCUCAGCCUACUCCGGUGGCAGAGCUAUAUAGUUGUGAUUAUUCGUCAUCUGGAUCAAACAAAAAAAUUUCUAGACUAGAACCACCUAAAAUUGUUAUAAUAACUAACAUUUAUAUCACAGUGGAUAAAGCAUUGGACCUGGAAUCAAGAAGAACUAAGUUCAAAUCCAGUCUAGACAUGUGACCCUGGGCAAAUCACUUGCCUUAAUCCACUUGAGAAGGAAAUAGCAAACCAGUAUCUUUACUGAGAAAAAUUCACAACAGCAUAGAUGUGCUCUGGUCUUCAGGAUCACCAAGAGUCUGACAUGAUUGAACAACAUUUAUAUAGCUCUUUACAUAUUCAUCCCCACAACAAUACUGUGUGAUACAUCCUAGUAAGUAAACUAAUUAAAAAAAUUUUUUUAAGUCACACAACUAAAGUCUAUGGUAAGUCUGAGAUAUGAUUAGAUUUGAGGCUGUCAACUCCAAUUGCAGUCCUUCAGUCACUACAUUAGACCACACUGGAUUAACUAUGACAGUGUAGAGCUGAAAUUUAUAAGCAACUGAAUCAUCCAUUGAUAUAAUAUUAGCUAAGAGGUUCAUGCCCAGAUCUCAAUUCUGGGCCUCUGAACUUUUGUUUCCUCUUUAGGGGCUUGGGCUACUAGAUUUCCAAGGUUUUUUCCUUCCACAGCCUUCUACCAAAGGCAGCCUUGGUCAGUAAACUAUGUACCUGGCCCCUCCUGCCUGUUUUUGAUGAGAUAAGAAUAGUUUUUACCACUCUUUCCUCUUAGGUAAUAGGCUGGAUUUGUCUGCAAGUCAAACUUUGCUGACCCUUGCUCUAGCACCCCAAAAUAGCAAGUACCCAUGAUAACCAUUCACAGCAAUCACAUGGCUAGUUUUGUAUGUCUUAGAUAAUAUUUGAGGCAAUACAGACUAAAUGAUAAUUAUGAGAAGGAAUUUCUCUAUCACCAUUGCUGAGCAUUUCAACACAACUUUUUACAUUGAUAAUCAUUGAAGGAAAAUUUAAAUACCCAAAGGAAUAAUUGUUGAAACAAUAUCUCCUUGUUGGCCAUUAUCUAAUUCAAUUUCCUUUCACAUACCAUUGUUAAUUUAAGGUUAAAAAUACAGUUGUCAAUCUUAUCUGCAGAUUCUGAUCCUUUCUCUGUUAUGUCUAGACCUUUCACCUUUCAGAAGGCAAAAUCAGUGGCUUAGAGUUCUUGAGACAGAAAUUUUUGGGAGAUCUAUUGACUUACCAUUGUUCUAUUAAAAAUAUUUAACUGGGGAGGUACAAGGGUCUUUAUCACAAUAAAAAAACAGUAUCCUG